UACGAAGGGGGCUAGCGUUGUUCGGAAUCACUGGGCUUAAAGGGCGCGUAGGCGGGCUGUCAAGUCUGGGGGUGAAAUCCCGCGGCUCAACCGUGGAACUGCCUCAGAUACUGACGGUCUCGAGGGAGGUAGGGGCGAGCGGAACUGAUGGUGGAGCGGUGAAAUGCGUUGAUAUCAUCAGGAACUCCGGUGGCGAAGGCGGCUCGCUGGACCUCUUCUGACGCUGA
rnacentral:rRNA from 1 species